rnacentral:rRNA from 1 species
GGUGGGAGCGGCAGACGGGUGAGUAAUACGUUGGAACCUGCCCCAAAGUCAGGGAUAACCAGUAGAAAUAUUGGCUAAUACCGGAUAGUCACGAAAGUGUAAAGCUUUUGCGCUUUGGGAGGGGCCUGCGGUCUAUCAGCUUGUUGGUAAGGUAAUGGCUUACCAAGGCUAUGACGGAUAGCUGGUUUGAGAGAAUGAUCAGCCACAAUGGAACUGAGACACGGUCCAUACUCCUACGGGAGGCAGCAGUGAGGAAUCUUCCGCAAUGGGCGAAAGCCUGACGGAGCAACACCGCGUGAAGGAUGAAGGUCGUAAGAUUGUAAACUUCUUUUCUGAGGGAAGAAUUCUGACGGUACCUCAGGAAUAAGCAUCGGCUAACUACGUGCCAGCAGCCGCGGUAAGACGUAGGAUGCAAGCGUUAUCCGGAAUUAUUGGGCAUAAAGAGUUCGUAGGCGGUUUGUUAAGUUGGAUGUUAAAUUUUUGAGCUCAACUUAAAAAAAGUAUCCAAAACUGGCAAACUGGAGACUGGUAGAGGUAAGUGGAAUUCUGCAUGUAGGGGUAAUAUCCGUAGAUAUGCAGAGAAACACCAAAAGCGAAGGCAGCUUACUGGACCAGUUCUGACGCUCAAGAACGAAAGCGUGGGUAGCGAACGGGAUUAGAUACCCCGGUAGUCCACGCCCUAAACGAUGAACACUAGGUAUUGGAGGUCUCGACCCCUUCAGUGCCGACGCAAAUGCAAUAAGUGUUCCGCCUGGGUAGUACGAGCGCAAGCUUAAAACUCAAAGGAAUAGACGGGGACCCACACAAGCGGUGGAGCAUCUGGUUUAAUUCGACAAUAAGCGAGGAACCUUACCAAGGCUUGACAUCCCGAGAAGAUCGCCGAAAGGUGAUUGUGCCGUUAGGAACUCGGUGACAGGUGCUGCAUGGUUGUCGUCAGCUCGUGCCUAGAGGUGUUGGGUUAAGUCCCGCAACGAGCGCAACCCCUAUUUCCAGUUGCCAGCAAUAAGAUGGGGACUCUGGAAAGACUGCCGGCGCAAGCCGCGAGGAAGGUGGGGACGACGUCAAGUCAUCAUGGCCUUUAUGCCUAGGGCUACACACGUGCUACAAUGGCGCAUACAGAGGGUAGCGAAGCCGCGAGGCGGAGCCAAUCUCAGAAAGUGCGCCCCAGUUCGGAUUGGGGUCUGGAACUCGACCCCAUGAAGGUGGAAUCGCUAGUAAUCGCGCAUCAGCCACGGCGCGGCGAAUACGUUCCCGGACCUUGUACACACCGCCCGUCAAGCCAUGGAAGCCGGGGGUGCCUGAAGACGGUGACCU